rnacentral:pre_miRNA from 1 species
GUUCCCUGCCCGCAAUGGGCUUACAGUCUAAAGGGGGAGACAGAAAUUAAUAUAAAUAAAUAAAUUAUGGACAUGUACCUAAGUGCUCCCCCGCUUCUAGUCUGUCUCCCCCCUUCUAGACUGUGAGCCCGUUGUGGGCAGGGAUU